CCAUCCUCACGAGGCAAUGGUGAUAUGCUUUCAUCUAGUUUCCUACAAAAUUUAUCCUCCACGAUGUCAUAGGAAUUUCCAGUCCUUACUUCCUGAGCAAGAGAGCACCAACAACAGAAAAGCCAUAGUGCACAGUCAGCAACAGAAGGUUUACCACAACAAGUAUUGUAAGGAGGCAAAUUGUAUCUUUUUCUCAUCUGAAUCCUCCAAAAGCCACCAUAUAGUAACCCAAACAGACAAAGAAAAAUCCCAGUAACUCCUAAUAUCCCCCUGACAGUAUCACUGUCAAUAUUAACAGCAGCCAAAUUGAAGAUCCAGAAUGGAGCCAUACAGAACAGAAGAAAAGUUGCAAUAUGAACAUACAUAUUUCCAAACCCAAGUCUCUCCAUAUUCCAACCAAAAACACAAAAACUGCAGAACAAAGAAAGAUAUGCCAACGAAAUAUCAUCCCAAAAAUCAAGAAUGCCUCCACUCCAUUGUGGUCUAGUUUCAACAAGUCUCCCUUCAUCUGAUGCAAAAGAAAAUCUCUUUUCCAAUGAUUUUCUUCUCAGUUGGCUAGACCUGCUGCUCUCAGCAGCUAUUGUUUGAAGUUGUGCUUCCUCGUCUAACUCAGUAUCAUAAUCUUUUCCUAAAGGGCUGAGCAUACAGUAAACUCCAGCAAUGGCAGGUGCACCAAUUGCAACUGAGAUACAUAGUCCUACACCGAUAGCUGGUCUUUCCGACCUCUUGUAACCCAAAUUAAGCCCACAAAGAGCAUAUUGAGCAAAACAGUUGAGAUUAAGUAAUGCAACAACCACCAUCAUGUGUGUCCAUUCAUGGGGCUUAUAAGUUCCAUGUUUACAGUAAACCUUUCUCAGCUUGGAAAUAUCUUCUGGUCUCCAUCGGAUUAAAAGAAUAAAGUGAUAUAGCCUUUGUGGGUGCUGGUACAGACACAUGAGAGUAAACAGUGCGUUAAGGAUUUGGUUAUUCACUUCAAACCAUGUAUCUCUCUGAGAUUUCUUAGGGAUGGCAUGGUUCAACAUCCCGGUCAUCACAAGAAACAAAAUUGCACCAGAAACAGCUACACAUACANAUGGUGAUAUGCUUUCAUCUAGUUUCCUACAAAAUUUAUCCUCCACGAUGUCAUAGGAAUUUCCAGUCCUUACUUCCUGAGCAAGAGAGCACCAACAACAGAAAAGCCAUAGUGCACAGUCAGCAACAGAAGGUUUACCACAACAAGUAUUGUAAGGAGGCAAAUUGUAUCUUUUUCUCAUCUGAAUCCUCCAAAAGCCACCAUAUAGUAACCCAAACAGACAAAGAAAAAUCCCAGUAACUCCUAAUAUCCCCCUGACAGUAUCACUGUCAAUAUUAAC
rnacentral:lncRNA from 1 species